AGGUUAAGGGAUUUGGAAGAUCAGCUUCAGCAUUUCCAAACCACAUCCUCAAAAACCUCCCCAGACCUGAAAUUCAAGGUGGAGAACUUCUUCUGUAUGGGGUCUCCUCUGGCUGUGUUCUUGGCUUUGCGAGGUGUCCGUCCUGGAUCCAACGGAACACAGGACCACAUUCUACCCAAAUCCAUCUGUCAGCGGCUUUUCAACAUUUUCCAUCCCACAGAUCCUGUAGCAUACAGACUGGAGCCCCUCAUUUUAAAGCAUUAUAGUAAUAUAGCACCUGUCCAGAUCCACUGGUGAGUACAAUGUGAGGAAAACAAAAAAAAUUGUGAACAUUGUUUAACUUGUGUUCUCAUAAACAACCCGAUUGGUAAUGAUAAAAAAAACCUAGUAAAGUACCGUAAAGCUACCAUAAUGACUGUUAAAUACACAAAUUUGCUGUUCACACAGUCUUAAACUGGUAAGAUUAUUACUUUACUAUUACUUAUUUCUUUUCAUUUGAUUUAUUUUUCACAUGUUAUACAGCUAGGUCCAUAUACUGUAUAUUUGGACACAUUUUUCCUAUUUUAGCUGUUUACCAAAAUAUUCAAGUUACAAUUAUACAAUCAAUAGUGGCUUAAAAUGCACACUCUCAGCUUUAUUUUGAAAACAGCUUUUAAUUGGACUUUUUCUAAUUAGUUUAGCUCCCUUGAAAAGGGGGGGGGGGCUACAUAUUAAAGCGUCAUGAAACCUCCACCCUUUCAGCUACAUUCUACCUCACUGUCGUUUUUGAAAAAUGCAAUUAAAAUGGACAUGAACGCUGUGAGAAGAGUGAGUGGGGGAGUGGGAGGGGCAAUAGAGAAAGUGAUCUGAUUCCAUAUCUUAAAAUAUAUUAGUCAUUGUCUGUUUUAUACAGUUUAUGGUCACUACACAUAUCAUACUUUCAAGCCACAUCGGUUUUACAGAAACCACUAAAUGUAAUAUGAGUAUUUAUUUUUAACAAAAUGCAAGUAAUACUGGUCUAGUUAAAAUAGGACAGUUACCGCAUUUGAAGAGAUGGAAAAGUCCUCAGGUCAUGGUAAGGUAUUCCUGAGUCCUGACACAGACUGCCUUCAUGAGCGAGUCCAAACGUCUUCAUUUCUAAAAGCUUUCCCGAGUAAAACCCAGUUUGCUACUGUUCCGGCCUUACUCACAUCCAUGAUGAGCGGGCUUCAAAGUUUAAACCGGGGAACGUUCUGGCAUGGGAGACAGGCACUCUAACGAGGCGACUCGCAUUCCACUGGUCGGGAAACCCCCUUUCGUCAGUGUCGGAAGUCCCCUAACUCCGUCUGUUUGACUUCUGAAUGUGAGGUCAAACACUCCAAAUGGCCCUCCGCGCCUAUUUCUGUGCGCCACAAUUUCAACAACUGUCAUGUAUUUAUCACUUUCAGUGGAGAAGACCUUCCCCCAUUUAUAGCCUAUAGUGCAUUUCACAUAAAAAUAUACUUUUAUAUAUAAUAUCGGAAUAUGUAUUUUUUGCAACUCCUGGUAAGUGUUCUGCUUUUUCUUAAUUUAUCCAUCGACUUACAAGUUGGGUAAACAAUGGAAGCAAUUAGGUCAACAUUAGGAUAACAAAAAGCAUAAGUGCAUUAAAACAUGUCUCACAAAGCCUAAUACAGUGUACAGAGCUACGGUUUUUUAAAAUAUAUAUAGAUAGAAUAGAAAAGAUAUAGAAGUCAGAAAUGAUCGGUCAGGUGCUGACGGACGAGAUGUGUUUUCAGCCGAUUCUUAAAGAUGGCCACAGAAUCUGCUGAUCUUGUAGCAGCAGGCAGAUCAUUCCACAAAUGUGGAACCGAUCCAGAGAAGGUUUGUGAGAGUGUUUUUUUUUACCUUUUUGGGAUGGCACCACAAGACGUUGUUCGUUUGCAGUGUAAGGAUCUGGCGGGUACAUAAGUCUGCAGUAGUGAAUGAAGAUAAGUGGGCGCCAAACCAGUGGUGGUCUUGUAGGCGAGGAGCAGAGUCUUAAAUUUGAUGCGAGCGACUAUAGGAAGCCAAUGUAACUUAAAGAAGAGAGGGGUGACGUGUGCUCUCUUCGGUUCAUUGAAGACCACUCUUGCCGCUGCAUUCUGGAUCAUCUGUAGAGAUUUUGUUGUGCAAACAGGAAGUCCAGCUAGUAGCGCAUUGCAAUAGUCCAGUCUAGACAGAACAAGAGCCUGGACUAGGACCUGCGUAGCAUGCUCUGAUAGGAAAUGUCUAAUUUUCCUGAUAUUGUAGAGGAUGAAUCUACAGCACCGAGUGGUGCUGGCAACCUGAUCUGUGAAAUUUAGCUGAUCAUCGAUCACCACUCCCAGGUUUCUGGCCAUUCUGGAAGAUGUGAUGGUUGAUGAGCCCAGUUGAAUGGAGAAGUUGUGAUGGAUCUUGGCAACUUGGCAAUACGCACUGCAUAGAACGGCUCCUAUAAAAUACAAACGGAAUAGUCGUAGUGUAUGGUAUGGAUACUCAGUUUCAGAUUUGAAAGCGAGCGUCGUCGAGCGAUUUAACAGAACGUUAAAAAGUUGUAUGUGGAGAUUUUUAACCGCCACAUAGAUGUUUUACAAGACAUUACGCAAGGCUACAACAGCAGUUUUGACCGGAGUAUUAGAAUGCGACCGAUCGACGUAUGCAGAGAAAAUGAGGCUUUCGUGUUUCAAAAUUUGCACGGCGGUACAAAGAACGAUUUGCGAUCGUUUAAAUUUAAAGUCUGCAACGUUGUGAGGAUUUCUAAAGUGAGAGGGGUGUUCGCCAAAGGCUACGAGCAGAACUACACAGAAGAAUUUUUCACCGUAGCGGUCUGCCUACCGCAACAGCCGCCGGUCUACCAACUGUCCGAUUACGACGGAGAAAUCAUCGACAGAGUUUUUUACGAGGAAGAGUUACAAAAUACAAUCGUGAGCAAAGACAAGACGUUUAAAGGGGAAAAGAUUUUAGGACAGAAAAAACAGGGCUGAAAUACGCUCAUUUUAGUCAAAUGGGUGGGAUGGCCCUCGAAAUUUAACAGCUAUGUAGACAAAAAAGUUCUGGUGGACUUGCAAGUGCCUUAAAACCUGCCUAGAAUCAUUUGCGAUGUCAUUCGAGUCAACGGCUAACAUGGAUGACGAGGGGUUCUACGUUACGCUCCCGUGCAAUGCUUCUAUGUCGGUCUACCCUGAAAAUCGGAUAUCUAGUUACAGAACCAAACUAGCCUCUUCUAUCAACUUGAAAGGACGAUGGCAUGUAGGAUUGUGCGAGAUCGAAUAUCCUAGAAGCUGGUACAACUUUAAUCGGGAAGAUGGUGGUUUUACGUUACACAUCCAGCCCACCAGCGCCGGAUCAAAGUUUACCAUCUGUGAUCGUAAAAAACACAGCAACCUCUCAGCAGGACUUCGAGCAGGCACCGACGAGUCUGGGCAAAUGGGCCUGUCUAAACACCCCCCCCCCGGACUUCAAAGGAGGUUCGAGGGGGAGGACAGGGCUGUUCACCAAAGUGACAAAAACCAUUUCGCCCACAAGCUGAGAGCCUCGGUUUAUUCCAAAAGAACCUCUCUUUCUCUCUUUUUAGCAACAAAAGACUGGUUUAAAGUGCAUAUCCGUAUACCCCCACGUUGUAUGUUUGUCUCCCCGUUAUUCACCUUCAAUAUAUAUCCUCCAAUGCAUGUGUGCGUCGUGGUAUUUCCAUUUAUAUUUACAUUCUUGUACAAACUACAGGUCAGUGUGAUUGUAACCCUUUCAUGGGUCAUAUCAAAAUGUUCCUCUUUUCAUUUCUUAGAAUAUGGUGUAUAGCACAGUAAUGUAUUUUUAUACCAUGUUCACUUUAUUUUAUUCUAAGACUAUCUACUGCUCCAAACUCCCAGCAACCGUAAAGGCAAAUGAGCUGGCGUGCCGGACAAAGAAACAUGUUUUCGCGCCCAAAACGAUCUCAUCACAUUGGAUCGCCCACCUCGGAGGGGCGUGACGCCCUCGGGGUUAAAACAUCUGUCCGCUCGCUUGCGUUUGCUCGUUUGUGUUCUUUCAACCUCUCGAGACCUGUCUCUCCUCAGAGAUAGCCUCUUCCAGCAGUUUGUGUCAGCUAAAUCCAACGGACUCAUGGCUUGCUCUGAACGCAUCAGGACCCUUUGAUACGCGCGCCAGCACGUGUCCCGAGAAACAAAGAAGCAAAUGCAAGUAUCUGAACUAUUGCUAACCAGUUGCGUAUAAGCUUUGCCCCUUUUAAAUAAGGAGUUUGUCCUCGAUGGUUCGUGCAGAUGUGAAUAGCUGAUUUAAUACUGCCAUUUUCUUUGCUUUAUCUAUUUCUUUCAUUCUUUACUGCUUUUACGUUGUAUGUUUGUUUGUUAGUGUUUGUUUCUUUGUUAGUAGUUGGUUUUAGUUCCCUCGUAGUGUAGAUAAAUAAACCGCAUGUGUAUCCACGCUCGAAUUGUUUCUGUGUUUAUUUAUCACAUAUCAACGUCACUUAAACUGCUUGAUUUCGUUAAGAUUUCUGAAGUGGUACUGUACUACAGUGAGAAUAUUGUUUUUCCAAGACCAGGAAAGUAAUAUGUCUUAGAUUUGAUAUACGAUCUGCUGAUCACUCGCGGGACGAGUGUAUUUAGUUUGUCGCUGUCAUUAGCUCUGCUGCAUCAGGUAAAGUGUAUAAAAUAAUUAAUGGUUAAUCACCAUUAAUUAUUUGUAGGUUACUGUGUUUAAACUCAUAGUUUCCUCGAAAUACAUGCAUUGGUGGAGAAUCCGCGGGCAGUUUUAAACCUUGUUUUGUGAGCAGAACUCAGUGACUAUUCAUGUGUGUUUCUAUGGGUGUUACUGAAACCGAAUACUCUUUUAAAUGGCACUUUAUGUAUGAAUGAAGGUGUGGACCCCACCAACCUAUCCUUGGCAGACUCUUGAGCUUCUCGCAGAGAAAACCUCAGCCUCUGUCAAAGAGUUAGUGACGAUAUAAAGACGAAGAAAUCUCUUUAUAGCGCACUAUGCUAUUAUUUAACCACCCUAAAUUGAGCGAAGAAAUCCUCUUUUAGCACGAAGGAAAUAGUGGAGCGAAUUUCCUCCCUAGUUCAUGCACGGCCGAAUUUUGUGUAUAUCGAAGCAUUACGUGUUCCAAUGCUUUUUAUCUAAGACACCGCUCCCCGAAGUUUAACCAUUAGACUAGCUAACUAAUGCGUGCUUUUUUGUUUCCUCUUUUUGAGUAGACGAGGCGGAAGGAUACUGUAUAUGUAUUUUAUUGUAUAUUGUAUAGUUAAACAGUAGAUGACGACCGUUUAAAGGGGAGUGUGAUAAAAAUCUUGAUCAAGUUAAUUGUACGACGGCAAAUUCAAUUCAAUUUUAUUUAUAUAGCGCUUUUCACAAUGUGCAUUGUUCCA